UACGAAGGGUGCAAACGUUGCUCGGAAUUAUUGGGCGUAAAGCGCACGUAGGCGGCUUAGCAAGUCGGAUGUGAAAUCCCUCGGCUCAACCGAGGACGUGCGGAAGAAACUGCAAGGCUCGAGUCCGGAAGAGGGGGGCGGAAUUCCCAGUGUAGCGGUGAAAUGCGUAGAUAUUGGGAGGAACACCAGUGGCGAAGGCGGUCCCCUGGGCCGGAACUGACGCUGAGGCGCGAAAGCGUGGGUAGCAAACGGG
rnacentral:rRNA from 1 species